GGAGGUAUAGCUCAGUAGCAGAGCGAGUUUUUGGUGUGCCCAAGGUCCUGGGUUCAACCCCCAGUGCCUCUG
rnacentral:tRNA from 1 species